GCCAGGUGCAGUGGGGCAUUGCUGUAGUCCCAGCCACUCAGGAGGCUGAGGCAGGAGGAUCACUUGACCCAGGAGUUCUGGGCUAUAGUGCGCUGCACCAAUCAAGUGUCUACACUAAGUUCAGCAUCAGUAUGGUGACCUCUUGAGAGCAGGGGACCACCAGGUUGCCUAAAGAGAGGUGAACUGGCCCAGGUCACAAAUGGAGCAGGUCAAGACUCCUGUGCUGAUAGUAGUAGUGAAAUCGUGCCAAUGAACAGCCACUGCACUUCAGCCUGGGCAACAUAGUGAGACCUGUCUCUG
ensembl:misc_RNA Metazoa_SRP Metazoan signal recognition particle RNA